UUAUCUUAAACAUUUUUUCGUGUUUAUUCUGUUUGUGUUUAUUUUCCUAAAUAAUUAUGUUGUAUUGACUUCUCCACAUUUCAUGCCAUAGAGAUUCCGUGAGUUCCAAGCACCUCCAAAACAUAACUUGGGAGUUCUGCUAUUGGAGUUAAUUCGAUUUAUAUUUAGUGGAUGAUAAUGGCUCAUUGCUGGAUAUGUAUUCACGAAGUGAUAUCCCUGCUUUGGCAAAAGAUAAAGCAUAUGCACAGAUUCGCCUUGGUGAAAUGCGUAUUCACCAGGUAAUUCCUCAAUCUUAUGUAUUUAUCUGACUCCAUCAGGCAUGCUAACUGUAUGGUAGAUAGCAAUCUCU